CACCUGGCCGGGCAAGUAAUUUUUAAAGUAUGUCAAUAUUAGUUACAUGGGAGAAAAUUUAUACAUUCAUCAGGAAAUGUACUUUUGUUUUGGGAAAUUUACUUUGCAUGGCUUGGAGCCUUAAUUUUUAGAAGUGGCUAGAACAGAUUCAUAUAUGUAUAGCAUUUUCAACUCAAACUUUAUUAAGAUUAUGGAGGUAUAAGGUUUUUCCCCUAUAUGAAGAAUUGUUUUGCUUCCAUAUUCUUGGCCACAGAUUAUGGGACUGAACUAAAAUUCCUUUACAAUUAAUAAUGGUUAGUAUUUAUUGAAGAAGUUUGAACUUUCCCCCUUUUUACCAGUAGGAUACCUGGAAAUGGAUAAACCCAUUUGUUUCAGUUAUAUACUUUCUAAAAAAUUAGUGUGACAAUGCUGGCCUUAGAUGAAAUAGUAAAAACAAUGUUUUGAAACAUUGCUUUUAAGAUAAUAUAAAUUUCAUAAGAGCUUAAUAAAGAAAAUUUAAUCUAUUCAGUUCUGGAAUCAUAGAAUCGUUAAGAGCAAAAACAUCACUUUGUAAUUGCCACCCUUGUCAGGGUGCCCCCUGUAGCAACUGAGAACAAAUUCAUUUCCACCUAUAUGUGAUGACCCUUUAAAUAUGAACACAGUUAUUUUCAACCAGAAGACAUCUAAAUCCCCAUUCCCCAAACAUCCUUUUAGUUUCUUUAAUGGCUUUAUUAUUUUAAACCCUUCACCUGUCUUAGCUCCCUUCUUCUGGUUAUUCUUCAGGUUAAUAGGGCCUCUCUCAAAAGUGACACUCAGAACGGUAAAUCAUAUACCAUAUUUGGUCUGAAAUAUACCAAGGUUUGGUUAACUUUUUGUGAUAGCCAUUAAAAUGUUUAUGUUUGGGGAAUAAUUUUAAAUAAUAAAAAAGACUAUGAGUAAUAGAAAUAGAUCUAUUCUUUGCCCUUUAUCAAAAGAAAAUAGAAGGGUUUUAAUAAAGUAAACUUUACAAUGGGUAAAAACUAAAAAACUAUAACUCAUGACUCUCUCAGAGUGUUUAUUGACUUGGGAUGAGCCUUAUCCUGGAAGUUGAGAGGACAGGGACCAGGAAUCUGUUAACAUUCAUUUCUUACUUAUUUUUAGCAAACAAAAAUUGAGGCCCUCUACUUUCUGGAAGAUAUGACUGAGGAUGUAUGACCAGUUCUCUAUGACAGUUGAGAACUACUUAAUAUGUGAAAAAUUAUUUCUUGUAGAACAAAUCCAUAAGGAAAUGAGAAUAAAAUACAGCACACUCUGUUUUGGCAAAGAAAUGCUUAUGUGAUUAAGACAAAUUAACUUUUUAGGGCAGCUCUGAAGAAGUAAUUUAUUUUAAAUAGGUGAAUAGUUUACAGCUCUAGUGGGAACACCUUUUCCUUUUCUUCAUCAUAGGAGUAUGCCCUGUUUUUAAUUCCAAUCCUUUAAUUUUUGAUGUUAAUAUUUCAUUUACUUGUUGACCCCAUACUGUUAACUUUUGACCCAGUGAACUCAGUAAACUGCAAAACUACUAAUAUAGCAUGGUAGAUACAAAACCUUUUCCUGAUAAGAAAUUCUUGUAACAUAUGCCUAAAUCUAAUGAUCCCUCAUGUAUCUUUAUUUCUACUCAAAUUUCCUUUCCUUUUAUAUAAAGUUGAAAUUCCUUUAAUUAUUUAGAUGUAAAAAAUGUUAGUACUACAUAUGGUCAUAUUAUAACUUUUAUUUGCCCUUAAAACUAGACCUGUGGACUUGCUUUUGAACAUUUCCCCUCUAAUUAUAAAAUAAUAUGCAUUAAAGAAAAAUUUUUAAAAACCAGGAAUGAUCGGAAGGCAUUGCUUCUGAAGGCCCCUUAAUAAUAUACCCCUUUCUUUUGUUCUUCCCAAUUGACAAAGGAAGGCUCUAUAUUUGUCUUUCGUAUAUUAGCAUUAUUGAAUUUGAUUCACUUUGUAUUACUGAAUACUGUAUUUUGUUUCUUUUCUUUAGGAAAAUUGAAGUUCAUAUCUUGUAGACUAGAGGGUCCAUCUUUCAGGCAUCAGAGAACAAAGUAGGAAAGACUUGGGGAGACAAUGGGAUCUCUCUGAUCCACCUAGGUCACACUCUUCUUACUAUGAAGAUGGGAAUCAGAAAAUUGGACAGUUUUUCUAACAGUCAGAAGAGUGAGAACUGGUCCUUCUUCACAGGAAUAAUUAUGGGCGUUUUAAACACUUGGAAUCAAGUACACUUUUCAUGAGCACCAUUAGAGAUGAUUCAUGAGCUGAACAGCAAGAUAUAGUGGUCAAUUCAGAAAUGCAUAUUCAAAUUAAAUAAAAACCUCUAUGAAUAAUCUACAUUUGUUGACAGAAUCCAAUUUUAGGAGAUGUUUUAAUCAUGAAUAAUCAUCAAAGUUAUGGCUCCUCAAACUUUUUUACAAAAGUGUAGUUAAUAGCAGAGAAGAAAAAUUGCCUUGAAUGUUGGUCCCAAGCUAUAAUUUUCUUUAGUUUCACAUUUUGUCUUAAAUUUAAUAUAAAUGUUGCAUUAUAUACCAUAAUAAUCCUAUGUGUAGUAUAAAUAUACUGCUUACAAAUCUCUGAGUAAAAUUGAUAUCUGAGAAGAUGC